rnacentral:rRNA from 1 species
GACGAACCGUGCGAACGUUGUUCGGAUUCACUGGGCUUAAAGGGCGCGUAGGCGGGUGGUCAAGUCAGGGGUGAAAUCCUCCAGCUUAACUGGAGAACAGCCUUUGAUACUGGCCGUCUCGAGGGAGGUAGGGGCGGGUGGAACUUCCGGUGGAGCGGUGAAAUGCGUAGAUAUCGGAAGGAACGCCGGUGGCGAAAGCGACCCGCUGGACCUCUUCUGACGCUGAGGCGCGAAAGCCAGGGGAGCAAACGGG